rnacentral:rRNA from 1 species
CGGGAUUGCCCCAGUAACGGCGAGUGAAGCGGCAAGAGCUCAAAUUUGAAAUCUGGCCCCUCCGGGGUCCGAGUUGUAAUUUGCAGAGGAUGCUUCGGGUGCGGCCCCGUCUAAGUGCCCUGGAACGGGCCGUCAGAGAGGGUGAGAAUCCCGUCUUGGGCAGGGUGCCCGUGCCCGUGUGAAGCUCCUUCGACGAGUCGAGUUGUUUGGGAAUGCAGCUCUAAAUGGGUGGUAAAUUUCAUCUAAAGCUAAAUACCGGCCGGAGACCGAUAGCGCACAAGUAGAGUGAUCGAAAGAUGAAAAGCACUUUGAAAAGAGAGUUAAACAGCACGUGAAAUUGUUGAAAGGGAAGCGCUUGCGACCAGACUCGGCCUCGGGGUUCAGCCAGCAUUCGUGCUGGUGUACUUCCCCGGGGCCGGGCCAGCGUCGGUUCGGGCGGCCGGUCAAAGGCCCCAGGAAUGUAUCGUCCUCCGGGACGUCUUAUAGCCUGGGGUGCAAUGCGGCCAGCCUGGACCGAGGAACGCGCUUCGGCACGGACGCUGGCGUAAGGUC